rnacentral:sRNA from 1 species
ACGAUCCGGACUGAUCACGAAUGCGCCGUCGUGUCGGAAAUAGCUGUUCAUCCAGCUACCCAGGUUAG